rnacentral:rRNA from 2 species
UUUUUUUUGGCCCGGGGGGACUCCACAAUGGACGCAAGUCUGAUGGAGCAACGCCGCGUGAGUGAAGAAGGCUUUCGGGUCGUAAAACUCUGUUGUUGGAGAAGAAUGGUCGGCAGAGUAACUGUGUCGGCGUGACGGUAUCCAACCAGAAAGCCACGGCUAACUACGUGCCAGCAGCCGCGGUAAUACGUAGGUGGCAAGCGUUAUCCGGAUUUAUUGGGCGUAAAGCGAGCGCAGGCGGUUUUUUAAGUCUGAUGUGAAAGCCCUCGGCUUAACCGAGGAAGCGCAUCGGAAACUGGGAAACUUGAGUGCAGAAGAGGACAGUGGAACUCCAUGUGUAGCGGUGAAAUGCGUAGAUAUAUGGAAGAACACCAGUGGCGAAGGCGGCUGUCUGGUCUGUAACUGACGCUGAGGCUCGAAAGCAUGGGUAGCGAACAGGAUUAGAUACCCUGGUAGUCCAUGCCGUAAACGAUGAAUGCUAGGUGUUGGAGGGUUUCCGCCCUUCAGUGCCGCAGCUAACGCAUUAAGCAUUCCGCCUGGGGAGUACGACCGCAAGGUUGAAACUCAAAGGAAUUGACGGGGGCCCGCACAAGCGGUGGAGCAUGUGGUUUAAUUCGAAGCAACGCGAAGAACCUUACCAGGUCUUGACAUCUUUUGAUCACCUGAGAGAUCAGGUUUCCCCUUCGGGGGCAAAAUGACAGGUGGUGCAUGGUGUCU